rnacentral:rRNA from 1 species
CGAUGAACCGCUUUCGGGCGGGGAUUAGUGGCGAACGGGUGAGUAACACGUGGGCAAUCUGCCCUGCACUCUGGGACAAGCCCUGGAAACGGGGUCUAAUACCGGAUAUGACUGUCCAUCGCAUGGUGGAUGGUGUAAAGCUCCGGCGGUGCAGGAUGAGCCCGCGGCCUAUCAGCUUGUUGGUGAGGUAGUGGCUCACCAAGGCGACGACGGGUAGCCGGCCUGAGAGGGCGACCGGCCACACUGGGACUGAGACACGGCCCAGACUCCUACGGGAGGCAGCAGUGGGGAAUAUUGCACAAUGGGCGAAAGCCUGAUGCAGCGACGCCGCGUGAGGGAUGACGGCCUUCGGGUUGUAAACCUCUUUCAGCAGGGAAGAAGCGAAAGUGACGGUACCUGCAGAAGAAGCGCCGGCUAACUACGUGCCAGCAGCCGCGGUAAUACGUAGGGCGCAAGCGUUGUCCGGAAUUAUUGGGCGUAAAGAGCUCGUAGGCGGCUUGUCACGUCGGUUGUGAAAGCCCGGGGCUUAACCCCGGGUCUGCAGUCGAUACGGGCAGGCUAGAGUUCGGUAGGGGAGAUCGGAAUUCCUGGUGUAGCGGUGAAAUGCGCAGAUAUCAGGAGGAACACCGGUGGCGAAGGCGGAUCUCUGGGCCGAUACUGACGCUGAGGAGCGAAAGCGUGGGGAGCGAACAGGAUUAGAUACCCUGGUAGUCCACGCCGUAAACGGUGGGCACUAGGUGUGGGCAACAUUCCACGUUGUCCGUGCCGCAGCUAACGCAUUAAGUGCCCCGCCUGGGGAGUACGGCCGCAAGGCUAAAACUCAAGGAAUUGACGGGGGCCCGCAC